rnacentral:ncRNA from 2 species
UUACUAUCAAGAGUGGUGGAGGGACUGGCCCGAUGAAACCCAGCAACCUGCGAAAGCGAGGUGCUAAAUCCUGCAGCAAUAUUCGAAAGAAUUGGUGCUGAAAGAUAGAUG